AGUAUGUACCGGAAGCUCUUCGUCGCAGAUCUGAAGUUAGAAGGAAGAAGAAGGUCAUCGCAGAUCUGAAGCUCAAAGCUUGAAGUCGUCAC